GUCUACUCAAACCUGCCCGGCUGCCCUUUAAUAGGUUUAUACAUACCAUAUCCGACUACUGUACAGAGUAUUCCAGGUACCUGUGUCUGUUUGACAUCUGCUUGGAACUGUCGACAAGAACAAUAGACGAUAACCCGAUCUUUGGUUAAAAA